CAGCAGCCGCGGUAAUACGAGGGGGGCAAGCGUUGUUCGGAAUUAUUGGGCGUAAAGGGCGCGUAGGCGGUUUGGCAAGUUUGGUGUGAAAUCUUCGGGCUCAACUCGAAGUCUGCACCGAAAACUGCCGGGCUUGAGUAUGGGAGAGGUGAGUGGAAUUUCCGGUGUAGCGGUGAAAUGCGUAGAUAUCGGAAGGAACACCUGUGGCGAAAGCGGCUCACUGGACCAUUACUGACGCUGAGGCGCGAAAGCUAGGGGAGCAAACAGGAUUAGAUACCCCUGUAGUCCCUGUCUCUUAUAC
rnacentral:rRNA from 1 species